rnacentral:lncRNA from 1 species
CUUGAGCAUCCGGCUGGUGGGUAUGUCCUCCAGAGUCAUGGACUCUGGGAAGUUGGAGAGUCGAGGAGUCCGGUUUCAGUGGCUCCGUUUCCCCGGUUACCGAAUGAGCCGCACUUCACUCGAGGUUGGGCUGCCCAGGAGUAGGUGCCAGUUUCAUAAAGGCCUGAGGGAGUUCCUAAAUGCCCAACUUCAGCCUUCAGCUGCCAGAGAGAAAAGCAAUACUCCCAGGGACCACCAGUCAGCAGUGUGGUUGUAAGGCCCACCACUCAAGACCUCUGGAGCUAUGGCAUGAAAGGAACCCAAAUCAACUAUCUGCUUCCUACUGCCUUCUCAGACCUGUUGAAACGUCUUGGAUUCUUGUUCAACCUAAGAAAGAAGACUUAACUCUACCUUUACAUCACGAUGGAUGAUGCCCAAGUCAUGGAGAUAGCCUGUGGAGAACAGUGAGCAUGGCUGUGUCUCCCAGUUUCUUUGUAGCCCCUAUCCCAUCUCUACCCUGGCUUCCAAAAUUAAAUAUUCUAUUUUCCUCCCCACUAA